UGCUUGUGUAUUUAAAUGGGUGUGGUGCUAAGUAUAUCUUGUUUACCUUAUCUGUGGAAAAGUUUUGAAGUCUGGUUAGGUUUGUCACAUCAUGCCUGUUGCCUAGCACUACGAAAAGUGUUUUUUUUUUUUUUUUUUUUUUUUUUGAGACGGGAGUUUCGC
rnacentral:sRNA from 1 species